UAUAUGCAUGUGUCUAUGACUCUUAUUACAUUAAUGGAAUAUUUCACUUAAAUUUUUUAUAAGGAAUAGAGGUAGAACCUCUUCCAUGAGAAUUAUGAGAAUGACGGCAACGUAAUAGCUAUAUUGAGUAGUAAUGUUAGCACUAUUUCAAGGCAGGGGGAGAUAUGGGCAGCAACGUAUGGAGGCAGAUCCGCUUGCGCUGGAGCAAAACACGGAGUACGAAGUAGAAGUUAUGUCCACGUCGGUUUCGUCCAGAUGAUGGAAAAUUGGAGAUUUCUUCAAAAUGAAUUAAAGUGGAAGGAGAGGAUUUCUUGUCAUAUAAGAUUGGGAAGCCCGAGAUCUGAUUUGUGGUUAGCUUGGAGCGAAUAAGGUACAGAUACUCGAUUUGGUGAUCCUCCAGCUUAGGAUUUCUACUCAGCUGUCUUGGAAAGCUCCAUUGUUCCGAAGCGUAGACCUUUGGUACAGAUCUUUUGAUAUAUGUAUAUAUGUUUAUCCAGGGGUACGACGGGGCCAUGUCCCGUCAUAUUUCACUGCUGAUACUCUUAGAGGUCUGUAGACAUAUGUGUGGGUUAUGUAUAAGUUUGUUCGGCUGUGUCUAUAUGAUGUGCUAUGGAUAUUGAUAUGUUGUGGCAGCCUUCUCGGCUUGCGUAUGAUAUUGAUAUGUUGUGGCAGCCUUGUCGGCUUGCGUAUGAUAUUAAUAUGUAGUGGCAGCCUUGUCGGCUUGCGUAUCAUAUUAUGUUUUGAUCAGUUGUGACUCCUUAGGAGACAGGUUAUCUGAGUAUGUGUAUAUAUGAUGACAUUAUGAACCUCUGGAGUUCCUUUGCAAG